CCUACGGGUGGCAGCAGUGAGGAAUAUUGGUCAAUGGACGAGAGUCUGAACCAGCCAAGUAGCGUGAAGGAUGACUGCCCUAUGGGUUGUAAACUUCUUUUAUAAAGGAAUAAAACGAGGCACGUGUGCCUUUUUGCAUGUACUUUAUGAAUAAGGAUCGGCUAACUCCGUGCCAGCAGCCGCGGUAAUACGGAGGAUGCGAGCGUUAUCCGGAUUUAUUGGGUUUAAAGGGUGCGUAGGCGGACUGUUAAGUCAGCGGUAAAGGCCCGGGGCUCAACCCCGGCGAGCCGUUGAAACUGGCAGUCUUGAGAAGGCGAGAGGUAGGCGGAAUGCGCAGUGUAGCGGUGAAAUGCUUAGAUAUUGCGCAGAACUCCGAUUGCGAAGGCAGCAUACCGGAGGCGAUCUGACGCUGAGGCACGAAAGCGUGGGUAUCGAACAGGAUUAGAUACCCCAGUAGUC
rnacentral:rRNA from 1 species